rnacentral:rRNA from 1 species
UGGGGAAUAUUGGACAAUGGGCGCAAGCCUGAUCCAGCAAUGCCGCGUGUGUGAAGAAGGCCUUCGGGUUGUAAAGCACUUUUAUCAGGAACGAAAAGCGUUGGAUUAAUACUCUGACGUGCUGACGGUACCUGAGGAAUAAGCACCGGCUAACUUCGUGCCAGCAGCCGCGGUAAUACGAAGGGUGCAAGCGUUAAUCGGAAUUACUGGGCGUAAAGCGUGCGUAGAUGGUUCGCUAAGUCGGAUGUGA